rnacentral:lncRNA from 1 species
UCACAUGGCAAGAGUAUGUGUCUCACAAAAUGGGAACAACUUGGAGACUACUCUAGGCAAGGGCUCACGAAUUUCUAGAAGGUUUGCUCUCCAAGCUAGGUUUUUACCUUAGAUCCACAUAUCUCCUUAGGGCCCAUCUCCUUUAGGCCAAAACCAUAUACUACAAUCUGCGACCCAAAUACAAGACCCAAAAUAAACCCUAGACUACUUGACCCAUUAUAUAGACUUAAAAUAAGCUUAAUCUACUAAGAAAUCACUAAUUACCCAUGAUGAUAAGAGCUUGGGCCCAACUUUCAUGAAUGAAUCCAACUCUUCUUGAGUAUGCUUAGUCAUGGCUAGGAGGUAUGUCAUCAUCCUCUCCUUCUUAAAAAGGAUUUGUCCUCAAAUCUUUAUGUUUCUCCCUUUUCUUCUUCUUCUUCUUCUUCUUCUUCUUCUUCUUCUUCUUCUUCUUCUUCUUCUUCUUCUUCUUCUUCUUCUUCUUCUUCUUCUUCUUCUUCUUNNN